UGGCCAGUGUAGAGGCAAGAAAACACCCAGGAGAAGACUGGAGUAAGGGCCCAGCAACUUUGAGGAAGAAGCAGCCGGCCGUGGUAGAAUCAGCUGAUUCUACAAUGAAUGAUCAGACAUCAACUCUCUACAUCGCCAAUGUAGAAAACUGUGAAGAAGCAAAAGACAGCCCAGUUGUGGAGAGAGGGGCUUCAAAAGAAGAAGGGAUAAUCAACCUAUCUCCUUUUCUUGUUGGAGAAACAGCAGAGGAUAUGAGCAAGGAGCAGAUUAAUGAUUCAGCUGACUUUGACAAAGAUCUAGAUGGUCCUGCGGAGAAGUUCUGGUUCGUCUUCGACCCGAGGACUGAUGCCACCAUUUAUCAUGAGUAAGGCCUGGGAAGAGGGAGUCCUAUGUCCAUUAAUUAAUAGCAUGCGUGAAGGUGUUUGAUGUUUGUAUUAUUAGUAGAUCUGGUACGAAGAGUGAAAGGUUUCUCUCUUUGUUGAAGAUUUAAUAAAUGGUUGUGUGCAUGGUUUCUCCCUUCAUUUUCCACUAUUAGAAAGCUAAUUAUCUAUGAAAAAAAUAUCACAAAAUACAUAAUAUAUAUUAUAAACUCAAAUCUUACAAACUUAAACUUUUUAAAAAAUUGACCCUUUAAUAUUAUACCAGAACUAUUUGGUAUUGAGGCUAUGUGUGAAGGAGGGUGUACGAGAGUAUAACAUGUGUGUUAGAGUGCGUUUUGGAGUAAUUUUAGAAAGCAUUUCUAACAUUUAUAACACUUGAAUAAUAAUAAUUUUCAAAUAUUAAAAAUAUUAAAAACGUUUCUUAGAAUCGCUAUCAAACAAACUCUUAAACUUAUAAAAUCAUUGAAAUCAUGUUGGGAGUCAAAAGUUUAUCGUCAUUUAUAAUCAAAUAGUAAAUUGAGAUUAAGGAUAAUUUUAUAAUAUAUUAACCUUAUCUCACUCCAUUCGUGCCUCAAAUAUAUACAUAUUGUCAUUUUCUCAAAUAUAAAGAGGAAAUUGUGAAGUUAGAUUCAUAGAUCAUUACAAAGAAAAGAUUUUUAAUAAAAUCCCCAAUGGAGUAAUUACAAUUCCAAUAAAUAUGUAGUCUAAUUCCGAUGAUAAGUUUUACAUAAUCCCUUAUUAUGGAACAGACAAGUUAAAGUUCGUUUCAUAGUGAUUUUAUAAAACACUUUUACUUUAAAAAGUGUUUUUGAACAAAAAAUUUUAUUUUUGGCAAAAUUUAGAAAACUCAUUUAAAAAUUAAAAAAAAAAUAUCACUUAUAAUAUUUUUAAAAAAAAAUACUUGAUAGGUGUUUAUCUUAAAAGCACUUCUAUUAAAAAAACAUUUCUAAUAAAAACAUCGUAAAAAACACUCUCAGAUUUAGAAUACGUUCGUAGUGAUUUUAUGAAGUAUUUAUAAUAUUUUUAAUAUUUGAAAAAUAAAAAAUUUCAAAUAUUAGGAAUGGUAGAAAUACUUCCUAGAAUCACUGUGAAACGUAUUUUUAAUACUUAAAAAAAAAUAUUCAAAGUGGUUUCUAAAUACCUUCUCUUAUAAUCGACUUAGACUUUAUUUGACAAUGAUUUUUAAAAAUAUUUCUUUAAAAAAGGUAUUUUAUAAAACUUAAAAAUAUUUUUAAAAAUCUAAAAAAUUACUUAUAAUAUUGUGUGAAAAAACACUUAUAUUAAAAACACUUGGGUAAAAGCAGCGCCAAUAGCACUUUUAGUUUGAAAGGAGACACAAAAUGAUAAAAAAGAAAAGGUUUGCUAUUGGGUUAUUAAAAAAAUUACCCAUAUAAAAAUAUUGUCUAGGGACCCCCUAUUAUCGGUCAUCUAUUAUUGGACUUAAUCAUCUCGGUUGAGUUCGGGCUUGAUCCCAAUGAAGAAAAUUUUGGUUUGGGCUCGAAUUUGCUUUUUAUGUCCAAACCUGAUAGUGGGCUACACAUGGGCUCUACUAGACCUGACCCAGAUGGUCGACCUUGCUUGGCCUGCCCCAAAGGAUUGGUCAACCUUUCAUCAAUCAAUGGAACACUUUUAGGAUGGGAUGAAUAUGAGGAGGGUCGGAGAUGGGUCACCUCAUCCUGUUCCAUUUAUUUAAAAUAAUGUUUAUUCCCAUUUUACACUAAUUGUAAACCAUUUGUGAAGGACAUUGAAGCUAUGAGUAUUAAUACAUUGGCUUACACAAUGGCUAAGGAUCAUAAAUCAUUUGUGAGAGAUUUUGAGCCCAUGAAGACGAAUACCUUGGCUUACACGAAGUCGUAAAAGGAAUUUGAGCUUGUUGGGUUUACUAUGGUGAAGUUACUACUAAAGAAGUGGUAGAAUAAGGGAAACUAUAAUGUGCACUAUGUAUAUAUAGAGAUAUACUAAAGGUACGGAAAAGGCGUUUACUUCUUGCAAAAAAACACAAGGGUGUGAAGAUGUUUAAAACAAAUCCUUGUCCCAAUGUUAUUCAAAAUACUCCUUUAAUCACCCGAUGCCUUUUUGAGCUCCAUAUUUUUCUUUUAGGUUAUGUUUGGUUCCCGAAAAAUACUAAGGAAAGAAAAAAAAUGCAAAGGAAAAUGAUUUUUUCAUGUUUAGUUGUCCUAUGAAAAAUAUAAAAGAAAAUUAAAUAUAAUUAAAACUAAUUAAAAACCUAUGUAUUUUAAAAUUAUUUAAUUUUUAUAUUAAUGAGUUAAAAUAAAUAAAAUGAGUUUGAAGUAAAAAAUAAAAAUAACUUAUCAACUUUUAAUCCAUUUUUUAUUUUCCUUCACUUUUUCUUUCCUUCUAUUUUUCCUUUGUAUUUUCUUUCCCUUGCAUUUUCCCUCAAAUUUUCUGAGAACCAAACAUAGCCUUAAAGUUUGUUUCGCAAUAAUUUUUUAAAAAUCACCUUUAGUUUAAAAAGUGCUUUUUCUAAAAAAGGAAAAAGAAAAAAUAGGAAUUUGAAAUAAAUUUAAAAAUUAUUUAUAUUAUCAUUUACAGUGUUUUUUUUUUGAAAAAAAAAAUACUUUAGAGUCUGUUUGAUAUUGAUUUUAAAAAAUGUUUUUUAUCUUAAAAAUUAUUUUAAAAAAAAUUUAAGUGUUUAACAAAAUUUAGAAAAUACUUUCAAAAAUAUGAAAAUCACUUUUAGUGAUUUCCAAAAAAACACUUAUAUGUGAUUCUCCUUAAAACACAGAGAAAAUAUUUUUACUAAAAACACCAGAAAUAUUGUCAAACACAUUCUUUAUAUGUGAUUCUUCUAAAAACAUUUCUAUUAAAAAUAUGACUUAUUUGAUUAAAAUGAUAAGUGAAAAUCUAAUUUUUGAAAUUUAACUCUCUAUUUUUUUUUAUCUCAUUUUGACAAAAACGUUUUCAAUAUUUAUUUAUUUUUUAAAUAACAUUUUGUUUGAAGACCUACAUGAAAAUACUUGAAAUAGUAAAUGACAUUUUAUGUUGAAAAUGAGUUACUUUUCAAGAAAAAAUAAAAUAUGAGAAGGAUUAGAUUCAUAAUUUUGGGAUUAUUUUAUCAUUUUUAACCAAGUAUUUUUUUUAAAUGUUUCGAAUAGAAAUACUACAAAACAUACUAUUAGUCAAAGAAAACACGAAAUUUCAACACAAUGUCUAAGCCCACCUCACUUUAGUACUAAGCUUAAGCCCGAACACUUCUAGCACCUUAUGCCACAUGCACGAGGCCCAACAAAGGAUCAUUUCAAAACAAACAUGAAAAGAUGAAGGAUUGAUUGAUUAAAAUGAUUAAAAAAUCUCAAAUUUAUAAAAUUAAUCUUCCUCAUUUCUUAACUUAAAGAGUAACAUAUUUUUGACAUAAAUACCCUUUAAAUUUUCAUUAUUUACAUUUUGAAAGGAAAUACUAUUUCUAUAAAAAAUAAUGAAAAUAUUUUUAUCUAAAAUAGGUAUUUUUUUAAGUUAAAAAAGGUGAAGGGUUGGAUUUGCAAAACGGGUAUGAUUUCCCCCUUUCAAUCGGAUAUCCCAAAAAUAAAUAAAGAAACAAAAGAAAUCUUUGAUUGAUCCUCGAAAUCUCUGUGAUUAUCCUUGGAUGGCCAUGCUGUCUCCCUCUCAAGUUUAAGAAGAAAAACGUGACAAAAGCUAAAGUAACACAUGACAACAAAAAGUGUCACCACCAUGUAUAUCACAAAGAAUAAAAUAUAUGCCUCGUUAUCUCUGGGCUUAAUCCACAUAUUAAUGACCGCCCACGUGGAUCUCGAGGGUCUUGAAUUGCUCUUAUACAUAAUUUUUUUCUUGCUUUUGUAGCUAUAUAUAUUACAUGGAUUGAUCGGAAGUCUCUCAUGAAAAUUGCAAAGAGGAAAGCCAUGGAGUCUCCUCUUGCUUUCUUGGCCAUUUUCUCGCUUCUCCUCGUAAGUAUUUCCACCUUUUCUUCUAUUUUCGUCAAAUCUUUUUUCAUUAACUUUAAAUAUAUAUUUUUUAUUUUCUUGUGCAUAUUCAUUCCUUCUAUUUUUCUUUCCUAUUUACUUUCAUUUAUACUUUCCUUGUUGUUGAGCAGUUUGUUGUCGCCUCGCGUAUCCAAUGGUCCACGUUGCUGCUAUAUGGAUGGAUACGUGAUUCUCAACACACAAGGGGUUCUUGAUUCAGUGGUUGCACCUGCAAAAGGCAUCCGGACAGGGUGUCCGGACGCACCCUCCGAUGGUUUUGUUAGCCAUGGUGAGAAAGAGAUAUAUAAAUCAGUUGGCCUUUUUCUAGGUAUCAAGAGGUUACCAGGAGAUCCCCUUUCUUCUUCGUGCGAAGGUAUAUAUAUCCAGCUUCAGGGGUACUGUUCCUCUCAUUAAUGGUGAGGAGAUCUUUUCUGUUGUGAUGAUGACAAUAGGUGUUAGUAGGAGCACUAUCAUCCUACGAAUGGCUGUCAGAGACUAUGGUAGGUGAUGCGGCCGUCAGAGAUCGUGGGAAGCGAUUAUGCAGAAUGAUCGUGGGAAGUGACUUGCUGUCACUUCCUCUUGUCUUCUCAUUCUGCAGGUGAUGGGAUGUGGGCCAUGGCUGCUUGUUGUGAUUGCGUGUAAGACUCGCUUUACUUUAAUUGACCAUCCAGAAGAUUUAUAUCCGGAUGGCUCAUGCUGAUUAUCCGGAUGUGUUGUGGAGACUAUCCGGAUGUGUACGCUCUGCCAGCGUCGUUUGCUCUUCCUUGGAUAGGAGAAGAUGAAACGUCGUUUGCCUUUCCUUGAGGCGGUCCGGAUAGGAUAACUGCACCAUGCAUAUCCUUAGGGGAAUCCGGAUGAUGAUGGUCCGGCUGAUAACACGUGCCACGCGUCACUAUGAGCUGCGUGCCACGUGUUUCCCAAGGGGAGGGGUCCCUACAUUGCCCCCCUUUUUAACUUGCCUAUUUUGCCUAAAAAAUGGGCGGGUUAAAAAUAACUGGCUUUUGAAAACUGAAGAAGUCCCUUCGUCUGACUGGGCCACGUGGCGAGUGGGGGUGCGGAAGCCAAAAAGGCAUUUAUGACGAGCCGCCGACCCUGCGUAUCCCCAGACAAUAUGUCGUUUCAAUGAUAACAUGGCUGUUGGUUUGGCUUUCCGAGGGGCUGUCCUGCUAUAAAUAGGGCACUGUACCUCUUUUUGUAUUUUUUCCUACUGCAUUCUCUUGAGAGUCUUUAUUCUUACUGCUUUUUCUACGCCCUUUGCUUUUCUGAGAAAAAAACUCCGAAAGCUCUUUUGUACCAGUGCUUUUGUAUCGCGACUUUGUUGGUUUGCUGCUGGUGAUUUUGUAUCAAGGCGGUACCCGUUCUUCUUCUUCGGUGCUGUAUUUGGUACGUAUCUCUUUGCUACUGCCGUUCCUUUGGUUGCGUUUGCUGUUUCUUUACACUUGUUUUCUGGCUUGCUUGGGCGUUGUUUUGGACGAGUCGUUUGCAAUUGUUGUUGAAUGUUGGUACUUUGUUGUUGUUUGGAGGGGUUUUUGAGGGGGUUUUCCUGACUGUUUUGGGUUAGGGUUUGUGUAUUUUCUGACUGCUUGGUUUGAUUCGUUGUAUUGCUUUUGUAUGUAGAUUUUGAUUUAGCUUUGUGGUGAAAAAUGGCUCCAAAAAAGGCUGUUUCAUCUGUCCGGGUUAGCGAAGCUAGCGAAAAGGCAAUAGACAAAUUAAAUGCGAAGGAGUUCCGGGAGCGAUUCCUGAUCCCCCAUGACGUAUUGAUAGACCUGGUGAACGAGGAGGCGGCUAUGCCUACUGAGAAAGGUGGAAAAAACGCUAUCCUCUUCACAAAGGAACAAUUCAACGCGGGGCUCCGGUUCCCUCUGCCGGCGUUGUUCAAGGAAUUCCUCCACUUCUCUCAAAUUCCCCCUAUCUUUAUUCACCCCAACCUUGUCCAGGUGCUGAUGGGAUGCAGCAUCAUCAACAUGCUGUACAGCCUCGACCUGACGCUACUGGAAGUGUUCUUUGUCUAUUCCCUGAAGAAAGCAAAGAAUGAUAUCUUCAGUGUGUCCGCUCACCUGCCCUCCCUUCAAAUGGUGACAGAACUGCCAGAUUCGACAAAGGGAGGGGCGAAGGGGCUGGUGGCAGUCUGGGGUGGAUGGGCGGGGCUAUCGCAGCAUCCGUCGAGGCCUUUUUCUCCGAAUUAUACCUUAAAAAUUCCGGGUAAUCUUGUUUUGCGAUUUUUUUAUCCGGAUUUUGCUUUGCUGAUUUUUUCUGAUUUUUUCGGACGGAAUUCUCACCUUUUGUUGCUGACAAUGCAGGUUUGGAAUUGAGGGGCCACCUUGUGGAUUGGGUGGAAAAGGCCUCCUUUGCCUGUGUCUGCAAAUUAUUUGAAAUAGAUCCCAAGGAGAGGGCCUACAAAACAUUGCUCUCCGCGCGGAAUUUGACAGAGGUCGUCCGGGAGCCCCAGGAAUAUGUUAUCAACAUCCUUCCUAGGAAAUUGGCAAAUGAUGAGAUAGUGUCUGGGGAGCAUUAUACAGUGAAAGAGCUUCCCCUCUAUCAGGAAGCUAAAGAAGCUGACGCUGAAAGGCGGCGAAAGCUCCUGGAGGAUAGAGAUCAGAAAAAGACUGAAGGCACUAUCCGGAAGGCUCCCGGACAGAAACGGGGUCCGGACUCCCCUCCGAAGAAAACUUCAGGAAAAAGGGGGAAGCUGGUGAAGAAGCAUGGGAAGGAUGCGAAGGAACCCACUCCUCCCAAGGAGUUUCCUCCUCCACAAACUACCUAUGAGGAGGAAGUAAUGAUAGAGGAGCCAGUAAAUGCUGCUCCGCACUCUAUCUCAAGCGGCCCCUGGCGCAUGUCGGGGUUGAAUCACUCAGGUCCCUCCUUAGUCGCGGCUGCGCGUCUAGCCAACGUGGCUGAGGAAGCUGCAUCUAUCAACCAUCCGGGCAACCUCAAUCCGGAUGAUGAUGCAGCUGAAACGGCCCCGUUGGAGGAAGCGGGGGCAGAAAGCCAAAGUCAGCCUUCCGACGACCCGGAUCGCUUGGCCAUAGUCCUGGUGAAAGGGCCUCCCCUCAAGAAGCCGCGUUUGACGCGCGAUCUACAGUCCGGACUCUUUCAGCGGCUUCAAGAGCGGCAGCAAGAGAUUGAAAUUAGCUGCGCUUCUACCCAUGACGCUCAUCCGGAUGGAGGCGAGGUGGAGAUGGCUACUGAGACCUCAGCCGCUCCGGCAAUAAUUCCGGCUGAGGAUGCAUCCGGACCUAUGUGCCCGGACGAAAAUAUGGGGGCUCCGAUUCCGGGACACGAGCUACCCUCUCCUUCCUCAUCCGAGGAGGAAUCUGCUGAUGAUGCCGCUCCCGCUAGCCCUUUCAGCUACGCGGAGUUGGAAGCUAAGUUAAAGCAGAUUACUCCUGACUGGAAAGCCAUCAAGCCCUCUGCUAAGAUGUUUGAUAUGAUAGAAACGGUACACCGUUGUCUUGUGUUUUUGCUUUUUGACUUUUUGUUGCACUGAUGUGUUUGUUGUAGUAUGAUUUAUGUUUUUGCUUUUCUUGUUUGUGUGUUAGCUGGUGAGGGGCCUCCGCAGCAUGUCUCAACAACACGCUCUUUUUACUCAGCUGCUGCAGACUGCAGACUAUAUGAGGACCUUCUCCUCUCGGCGCCAAGAGAUUGAAAAUCAGCUGCGUCUGAGAAUGGAGGAGGCUGAGACCAAUUUAUCCACCAUGCAAGAGGAAAAUGAAGCCCUCCGAGCGGAGCUGGCUGAGGCGAAGAAUCGCGAAGAAUCGACUGCGGGUCGCCUACAUGAGGCGGAGGGUGAGGCAGCCCGACUGAGGGAUGAAGUGAGUCAACUCCGGACCGAGGUUUCGAAUGAAAAGAAACAGAAGGAAGACUUGCAGCUGCGUCUGGAAGUGCAAAAAGAGGAACUUGAACGGGAGUUUGCUGUGGAAAGAGAGGAACUUGCAGCGGAUUACCAGCAACAAGUGGAUGAUACGUUUAUCUUUGGGUAUCGCUGCUGCAUGAAGAAGAACGGCAUUAAGCGAGAUACCCCUUCAAUUCCUCCGGGUGAAGAAAAGAAGCUCCAUGAGAAGCCCGCUCCCUGAUAGUUUUAUCCCUUUUUGCAAUUUUUCUGCUAUAAUUUUUCCUUCUGUAUUUUUUGUGGUCCGGAGAUCUCUUUGUAAUUACAUUUAUUCAUAUCAAUAAAACAUACUUCUUUCUCAUUUGCACUUGUGUAUACUUUUUAUUGAUAGUACUGCUUUAAGUUGGACACAUUCCAUGGUCUGAGUAACGGAGUGCCAUCUAACUUUUGUAAAUGAUAAGCUCCAUUUUCGCUUGCCAUAAACACUAUGUAGGGUCCUUCCCAAUUGGCUUGGAACUUUCCUGCGCCUACUUCAGCAGUAUUUUCAAAAACUUUUCUAAGUACUAGCGUACCAUUUUUGAAGUUUCUGGGCCUGACUUUUCGAUUGUAAUGCGCUGAUGCCCUUUGUUGAUAAUCUGCCAUCCGGAUGGACGCGCUUUCUCUGACUUCAUCUGCCCAGUCCAAAUUUCUUCCUAGUUCCGUGUUGGCGUCUUUUUCCUUUGCUGCAUCAGUCCGGAUAGUAGGAAGACCUAUUUCGGUGGGAAUGACUGCAUCCAUUCCAUAUGUGAGGGCAAAAGGAGUAUUUCCUGUUGGUCGUCCGGGUGUGGUUCGAUAGGCCCACAGGACGCCGGGUAGUUCCUCCACCCACUUCCCUUUGGCUUGCUCCAGCCUUUUCUUCAAGGCAUUGACUAGAGUUUUGUUUGUGGCUUCCGCCUGGCCAUUGCUUUGAGGAUAACGUGGCGUGGAGUAUGAAUUCCGGAUAUUCAAUUCCGAACAGAAAUUCCUGAAUGCAAUGCUGUCAAAUUGUGGACCAUUGUCAGCUAUGAUGAUUUGGGGAAUCCCAAAGCGGCAAACAAUGUUCUUCCAUACGAACUUGGUAACAUCUUUAUCUUUGAUGCUUGCAUAUGCUUCAGCUUCUACCCAUUUACUGAAGUAAUCAGUAGCGACAAGAAGGAAUUUCUUUUGGGCAGGUGCUGCUGGGAGGGGUCCCACUAUGUCCAUGCCCCACUGCGCGAAAGGCCAUGGGCCUGAGACCGAUUUUAAUGCGACUGAUGGCAUAUGUGGAAUGGGAGCGUAUCUUUGACAUUUAUCACAUUUUUGGACAUAUGCUGCCGCGUCUUUCUUCAUUGUUGGCCAAUAGUAUCCUUGUGAAUGAGCUCUAUGUGCUAGGGAUCGUCCUCCCGUAUGAUUUCCGCAUAUUCCUUCAUGUAACUCAGCUAGCACAUACUGGGCCUCUGAAUGCCCAAGACAGCGAAGAUAAGGCCCUGUGAAGGAUCGCUUGUACAGGUGCCCCCCAAUCAGGGUGAAACGGGCAGCUUGCACCCGGAUUUUGUGCGCUCGUUUAGGAUCUUCGGGUAAAGUUCCUGUCCGGAGAUAUUCUGCAAUAUCAUGCGUCCAUUCUUGAUCAUCCGCUUGGUCUGCCUCAAUGGAGUUGCAAGUGGAAUUUUCUGCGACAGAGGGAUUGGCUUGUACAUGGAUAGGCAAUAGAAUGGUUUCUCUGAUGGGGAGGGAAGCAGCUAUACCGGCCAAGGCGUCAGCGCGCCCGUUGUCAGCUCGCUUAAUUUUUUCAAUUGUCCACUCGGUGAAUUGCUGUAAGGUGCUUCUUACUUUGGCCAAGUAUCGCGCCAUGCGUGAGUCCUUAGCCUCAUAUUCUUUCUGGACAUGCUUUACCACUAGUUGCGAGUCGCUGUAGAUUCGGAGUUUGGAGACGGAUAGCGCAAGAGCGAGGUCCAAUCCGGACAGGAUGGCCUCGUAUUCUGCUUCAUUGUUAGACGCGGAGAAUCCCAGCCGGAUGGCCUGCUCCAGAUGUUCCCCAGUUGGGGACUGCAAUAAGAGCCCAACUCCAGAGCCUGAUGAGCGUGAGGCUCCGUCAACUCGUAGAGUCCACCACUCCUGUUCACCUGAUUCGUGGUGCUGGUCGGGUCUUCGUGAAUAUUCGAGCACGAAGUCGGCCAUUACUUGGCCUUUUUUGGAUAAUCUGGGUUGGAAUUCGAUUCCAAAUUCGCUCAAUUCGAUGGCCCAUUGUAGCAUUCGCCCAGUUGAAUCUGGCUUGUGCAGAAUGCUACGAAGGGGCUGGUCGGUCAGUACAAUCACUGGGUGGGCUUGAAAAUAGGGGCGGAGCUUUUGAGCAGCACUUCGAAGAGCUAAGGCUGUUAGCUCCAUUUUUGAAUUCCUGGUUUCUACAUCUGCCAAAGCUCUGCUGACAUAGUAGACAGGUUUCUGCUCCUUUGGCGAAGGGCAGCGGAAUAGAACGGCGCUGAUUGCCCAUUCUGAGACAGCUAAAUACAUAUAUAGCUUCUCCUUUGGGAUGGGGCUGCUCAAGAUGGGCGGAUGCAUAAGACAGUGUUUAAUUCUUUCCAACGCGUUUUGGCAAUUGUCCGUCCAUCCCUGCGUUCCAGCUUUUCGUAUCGCUAAGAAGAAGGGUCGCAACUCAUCAGUGAAGCGGGCUAUAAAACGUCCUAACGCAACGAGCUUGCCUGUGAGGCAUUGUAACUCCUUUUUGUUCCUGGGAGGAGGUGUCUCCAUGACUGCUUUGACUUGAUCCGGGCUGACUUCUAUGCCUCUUUGGCUGACCAUAAAUCCCAGAAACUUGCCAGCACUCACGCCAAAGGCACAUUUGGAAGGAUUUAGCUUCAUGUCAUACUUUCGCAAGAGGUAAAAUACUUCUUGUAAAUGGAGGAUAUGCUGCUCUCGAGUUUUGCUUUUAACCACGAUAUCGUCAAUGUAUACCUCGACCGAGCGGCCUAUCAGAGGUUUGAAGAUUUUAGUCAUCAAUCUUUGAUACGUGGCGCCAACGUUUUUGAGUCCGAAUGGCAUGACUUUGUAGCAAUAGAGGCCGUGUGGCGUUAUGAAUGCUGUUUUUUCUUCGUCAUCCGGAGACAUGGGAAUUUGGUGAUAUCCGGAGAAGGCAUCCAAGAAAGAGAGCAUCCCUUGCCCGGAAGUGGAAUCCACAAUUUGAUCUAUCCGCGGUAAGGGAAAACUGUCUUUUGGACAUGCAUUAUUGAGAUUGGUGUAAUCAACACAGACUCGCCAUUUGCCCUCUUUCUUUGGUACCACUACUACAUUUGCCAACCAAUCCGGAUAAGAUACCUCUCUGAUGAAUCCGGCUUCCAACAAUUUGUUAAUUUCAUCUUGGAUAACUCUUUGUCUAUCCGGGUGAAAUCGUCUAAUCUUCUGUCGAAUGGGUCUGGCUGCUGGAAAGACGUUAAGCUUGUGAGAGGCGAUAGAGGGAUGAAUUCCCUUCAUAUCCGAAUGUGUCCAUGCGAAGAUGUCAUGGUUACUUCGAAGGAUAUUUUGUAUGCUCUGGGUUUCUUCUUGUGUCAUGAGGGAACUGAUGUUUGUGAGGUGAUCAUUCUCUUCUGAGAUUUGGAUUGUUUGUAAGGGAUCUGCUACCGGGGGAUCCUUGUCCACCGGACCCAAUAAUUGCUAUUGGUCGCACGCAAUGCUAGGUUCAGGGGGAGAUGCAUCCUCCUGGUUAGCGACUGCUUCACGUGCUAUUUGGUAGCACUGGCGAGCGGCUAACUGGCUGCCAUACAAGUCAGUUUGCCCUUCAUUGGUGAGGAAACUCACCAUUUGAUGAUAUGUGGAAGGGAUGGCUUUCAUGUAGUGAAGCCAUGUGCGUCCCAAGAUGACAUUGAAGGGUGACAAUUCUUGCACCACCGAGAAUUGCACGUUGAGAGUGACUGGUCCAGCUCGAACCGGCAGUAUAAUGUCUCCUAAGGAUGUUGUUGAUGAUCAGUUGAAUCCGGAUAAGAUUCGUCCGGGGUUUUCGAGACCCGCGAGACUAUGUCCCAUAUGGCCAAUGACUGAUGCUUGUACUAGAUCGACUGAACUGCCUGGAUCAACCAAGAUACGUCUUACAUCAAAAUCUCCUAUUUCUAGAGAGAGGAUGAGGGCGUCGCGAUGUGGCUGUAGCGUCCGGGUGGGAUCUACUGGUGGGAAAAUGAUUGUCCCAUCUAUGGGGCGAGGGCCCUCUCCAGUAAGACCCGGUCGGAUGGAAUUAAUGCGCUCGCGUAUUGACGCGGCCCGCAGCAAUUUCUGCCUUUUACGCCUGGAAUCGUAUUCCUCGUCAGACGGGCCCCCAUUGAUAUAGUUUAUCACAGCCUUGGGGGCGACUGGGGCCCUCGGGGCCUCAGAGUUAUGAUGCUGAGAUACGUCCCUUCCUCCAGUAUCUGAGCGGAGGUACUGUUUUAAAUGUCCUGCUUUGAUGAGCCUUUCAACUAGAUACUGGAGGGAUCGACACGUCUCUGUUGUAUGACCAUGGUCUUUGUGGAAGGCGCAUUUCUUGCUGCGGUCUCUUAUGGAUGGGUCCGUUUCGAGGGGUCUAGGCCACCUGAAGUCGGACAACCCUUGGAUCAUUGGGAGAAGUUUUUCGUAUGAUACGGAUAGGGGUGUGACGGGCGGCCUAUUCGGACGACUCGGCCCGUCCUAUCUCCGGUCAACUGGUUUUGGACGGUCCGGAGGCUUGGCAUGCCUGUCCGCGUUAUCUCUAGAAGCCCGUCCGGCAACCAAAACUUGCUGAGUGGCUGCACGCACGUCAUCUUCGAGCAUUGAAUAUUUGUUAGCACGUCUGAACAAAUCGUCCAUCGUUGUAGGAGGCUUUUUUGCCAGUGAUUCAAAAAAUGGAGUGCCUGGACAAAUGCUUCUCUUGAAGAUUUGUAGGACAGCAUCCAUGCUGCAAACCUCUAUUUGGAGUACGGCUUGGCCAAAUCGUUUCACAAAUUCCCUCAAGGAUUCGUUGUCUCUCAUUUUUAUGUUCUGGAGGGUGCUGAUAUUCUGCUUGUGUCGAGCAGAGCACAAGUACUGUCCCACGAAUGCUUCAGAGAGGUCCCUGAAAUUGUCAAUAGAGUUAGGAGGUAGGCGAUGAAACCAUGAGAGGGCCUGCCCUUGAAGGCUGGCGGGGAAUACUUUGCAUAACAAUGCAUCGUUGCCAAUAUCGAGCGUCAUAAGCUGUCGAUAGUGCAUGAUGUGAUCGAAGGGGUCGUUGGUCCCAUCAUAUGUGGAAAACUUUGGUACGAGGAAUCCCCUUGGGGGUUCGUAAUGAGUGAUAUGAGAGCAAAAGGGCGUGGAGAGCAUGUCAUCCAGCCUUUUGCUGAUGGAGCCAAUGGGUGGCUCGUUUGGGAGGUUUCUCCCAGCUGGUCGUUCCGCUAGGUGUGAGUGAACGUUCCGCAUCGCUGGGGUGACCAUGGGGUCACGAUGCGGAGGUACGUUCUGCACCAUGGGAGCGAUCAUAGGAUCGGGGCGUGGCGCCCGGGUUGUGGCUGCUGGUGGCCUUGAUCUCCCAGGCUCUUGUGGGCCUAGUCUUGCGCGCAUAGAACUUGACAACUGUGAUUUUCUAUCACGUUGUCUUUUUGCUGAGAAAUGAGUGGAAUCUGAGCUUUCCUCACAGGGAACUCGAGGCAUGGGUGUGCGUGGCUCCUGGGGCCUUGCGUUGUACGUUCCUGGGAUAGCUCCUGUUGACCCAGGAUAUAUUGAUUCUGGCUCUGGCUUUGAGUUUGCCACCUGGCCUUUUGAGCGCUGAUGACGAGGAGGUCCUGAUGUUGAGGCUUGAAUGCGUAACACAGCGUUUUCUUCCCUUAACCUCUCCGUCUCCUGGAGGAGAGCUUUUAGCUGUUUUUUGCUCGCCAACUGUCUUUUUUCGAUGGCUUGACACCAUUCGUGAUUAUCUUCUUCCUCUCUACCAGAUGAUCGACUUUGGGAAGGUGUGGCCAUCUUUGCUAGUGACUGAAUCAAAAUAAAAAGUAAAAGUUUCCCACAGACGGCGCCAAUGUUGUCGCCUCGCGUAUCCGAUGGUCCACGUUGCUGCUAUAUGGAUGGAUACGUGAUUCUCAACACACAAGGGGUUCUUGAUUCAGUGGUUGCACCUGCAAAAGGCAUCCGGACAGGGUGUCCGGACGCACCCUCCGAUGGUUUUGUUAGCCAUGGUGAGAAAGAGAUAUAUAAAUCAAUUGGCCUUUUUCUAGGUAUCAAGAGGUUACCAUCCCCUUUCUUCUUCGUGCGAAGGUAUAUAUAUCCAGCUUCAGGGGUACUGUUCCUCUCAUUAAUGGUGAGGAGAUCUUUUCUGUUGUGAUGAUGACAAUAGGUGUUAGUAGGAGCACUAUCAUCCUACGAAUGGCUGUCAGAGACUAUGGUAGGUGAUGCGGCCGUCAGAGAUCGUGGGAAGCGAUUAUGCAGAAUGAUCGUGGGAAGUGACUUGCUGUCACUUCCUCUUGUCUUCUCAUUCUGCAGGUGAUGGGAUGUGGGCCAUGGCUGCUUGUUGUGAUUGCGUGUAAGACUCGCUUUACUUUAAUUGACCAUCCAGAAGAUUUAUAUCCGGAUGGCUCAUGCUGAUUAUCCGGAUGUGUUGUGGAGACUAUCCGGAUGUGUACGCUCUGCCAGCGUCGUUUGCUCUUCCUUGGAUAGGAGAAGAUGAAACGUCGUUUGCCUUUCCUUGAGGCGGUCCGGAUAGGAUAACUGCACCAUGCAUAUCCUUAGGGGAAUCCGGAUGAUGAUGGUCCGGCUGAUAACACGUGCCACGCGUCACUAUGAGCUGCGUGCCACGUGUUUCCCAAGGGGAGGGGUCCCUACACAGUUGGCCAGUGUAGAGGCAAGAAAACACCCAGGAGAAGACUGGAGUAAGGGCCCAGCAACUUUGAGGGAGAAGCAGCCGGCCGUGGUAGAAUCAGCUGAUUCUACAAUGAAUGAUCAGACAUCAACUCUCUACAUCGCCAUUGAAGAAAACUGUGGAGAAGCAAAAGACAGCCCAGUUGUGGAGAGAGGGGCUUCAAAAGAAGGGACAAUCAACCUACCUCCUUUUCCUGCUGGAGAAACAGCAGAGGAUAUGAGCAAGGAGCAGAUUAAUGAUUCAGUUGACUUUGAUAAAGAUCUAGAUGGUCCUGCGGAGAAGUUCUCGUUCGUCUUCGACCCGAGGACUGAUGUCACCAUUUAUCAUGAGUAAGGCCUGGGAAGAGGGAGUCCUAUGUCCAUUAAUUAAUAGCAUGCGUGAAGGUGUUUGGUGUUUGUAUUAUUAGUAGAUCCGAGGCCUAGGAAGAGGGAGUCCUAUGUCCAUUAAUUAAUAGCAUGCGUGAAGGUGUUUGAUGUUUGUAUUAUUAGUAGAUCUGGUACGAAGCGUGAAAGGUUUCUCUCUCUGUUGAAGAUUUAAUAAAUGGUUGUGUGCAUG
rnacentral:lncRNA from 1 species